GGAUAGGAGGCGGUACGCUGGGACUAGGGAGCAAGCACUAAAAUAUGUUUUACAUCCGUGGGAGCUGGCCGUGUGUGGUACCCCACCGAGAGCAUUCCCACUGUGCUCAGCAGAUGGAUGAUGGGAGGGGGUUUUUUUCUGUGUUUUAAGGCCCUGGCAAAUCUGAGAGGCUCAUCCCAAGUCCAGCUGCUGAGCCUUUGGAAAGCAGGGAUGCAUCUUGGCAGUGUAUCUCACCACGGCAUGGAUAUUUUCCUGGACCAGCCACAGGAAUGGUCACAGUGUCCUCCACUAAACUCUAGUGUGGAGGAUGGCUAUUGCCACCCACACACUUCCUGCAAUUUCAUCUUAAACACAGUGAUCUUUACUUGCUGCCUGCGGUUGGCCUCAGGGAACUGUCCCAGGCAGGCCAUGCUUGCAGUGAUGUGAAGAAAGGACAGGUUUUGGCAGAGAGACCUCCAAGUGCGCAUGCUGAAGUGGUGGCUGGUCAGAAACAACACCAAAGCUCAGAUGAAAUCAAGGACUUGGAGAUUUUGCAUCCUGCCCCUGCUGCAUGUGUCCUACCAGAGUGUUUUGGGGAAGCUGAUGAGCCAGCCAAUGUCGUGGACAUAGGAAAAAGGACAACAUCUCCAGUGCCCUCUCAUGUACCCUGAAGAUUUUGUACUGGGUGGCAGUCCCCCCAGAGGGAUGUGCACAGGCCACCUGGAUGGCCAGCUCCAUCAUUUUUACUUGUCUCCCCUGUGUGCUCUUCAGACUUGCAGUCCCUUUCACCCUGCUCUCUGCACCUCCCUCCCUGCUUGAUGGGAAGGUUGUUCCUCAGGUGCUGGAGUUCAUUCCUGUGUGUGGAACACUGUUCAGCAGAGGAAGCUGUGGGAGGGCCAUCCCAGCUGGAUGAAGUCAUCUUGGAGCAUGGGUGCGGUGGUGAAAGACACACACAGUGAAUUUACAUCUCUUGGAUAAAGGGAGAAACUGAAGAAAGAUUUCCCCUGUGAGCUGGCUUUUAUCGUCAGUGUGAACAUCUUAGUCAGCACAAGCUCAGACUUCUAAAGUUGUGCAGCCGUGUGCUGGGAGAGCUACAGCCCCUGCAGCUUCCUGCUUCCCUGGACCAGCCAAGGGUAAAGGCUCCAGGAUCUGGUGCUCCUCUGGCAGGAAUGGCUGAGCCCAGGCCAGGUGAGUUGCAGGCUCUGAAACUUUGUGAGUGACCCUGCUCCUCUGGAAUGUGGGAAAACACCCUCCCAUUUGAUUUUAACAAAUCACCACAAGCCAGAUCCUGUAGCGUGUUGAACAUCAGUGGAUACAGACUAGAGAACAGAAUUAGCUGGGAGAAUCCUAAUGUUUUGUGAAAUCAUUUCCAUGACACAGACAUGAUACCAGAGUGGGAUGCUGCAUGCUUAAGUACUCAAGUCUUCAGGAAGCAAGAAUCUGCAGAUACUCUGACUCACUAGAAGAAAAAUUACUUGUAGUGACUCAAACACUUGGAUGCUGUGGUUUCCUAAUUAAUCACUGUGCUCCACCAUGGGUCCAAAAUCCUCCUUUCAGGACCAGAGAAUGUUUGUGGCCUUGAGGAUUCCUGCUCUGGUGCAGCUGUCUGGGUGGACAGAUUAACCUCUUGCUGCCCGUCUGCAGUACGGUCUGCAGACACAAUUAAUUUCUGGGCUGUUAGCACAAGUGACUUGGUAGGCUCUGAAAGCUUGAUGAUGGUAGUUUUGCCUAAAAGAGGGACUUAGCAGGGGACACUUUUUUGAGGUGACCAUGUGACUUGAGGAAUCCCCAGGAAGGUCUGCUGCAGGUUUGGCAGCAAUCUCACGGUCAAGGGGCUGCAGACUCAAACUUUUCUGGGAGGAGACGGAUCCAGUGGUGUGUUAGAGCUGGGAAACCCUGGGGAACCCUGCAACCCUGCCCUUCUUUUGCAAGAGAACAGUACGAGGUGCCUCCCUUUGCCUUGACGUGCCUCGUCAGCCGGGAAGCUGUUCCCAUUGGGCAAAAGGUGAAAUUUAUGUCUUUCAUAACUUUGUGUUUGGAUUUUGUGCUGUGCUUAUUUUGUACAACGUGGUACAGAACACGAGUAUUAUGCAUUGAGAUAGCUCAUCUUCUCUGCCCUAAGCCCAAAGUGCAUGUUGCUGUCACCACAGGAAAAUAGUGUGACCAUGGGUGGAAGCAAAGAAUGUUUCUUUUCAAGGUUUGUGCUAAUUUUGCACUUAAUUGGUAUGUUACAAACCUAGCAAAUCAUAAAUAAAACCUGAGCUUUCCUUUUUCUAAAACUAGGUCUUAAAAUAUAACUUGACUUAGAUUUGAGUUGAAAAGGCAAGCUUUUGAAAGAGAUGAAGCAUGCCCUCAUGUGGCAAUAUUUUUUCCUUAUAAUACCUGUUUGUUUUGGUUUUAAUCCCCAAAUAAUCUAUUACAAUGAGUUAUGUCAUGACAUCAGAACUGGCAUGCAGCAUGGGUGCUGUGAUACAAAGCUGGUGUACACACAAAAUGUUCAGAAAUAGUUAUAUGGGGUCUAACUCUCCUGUAACUUGAGUCCCUGCAUGAGUGCUUUUAUUCUAAAAUAAGACUAGCUCCAAACAGGAGUUCACAAAUAAACAAAGGUGUGAAAUAAAACUUGUCCUGUCCUCUGCUCUGUGGGAAACUUGCUUUCCACAACUGAGAGGAAAAUUUAAAAUUGUUACAAAGUGGACAACUUGGUUAGAAACCAGAAUAAUUGAUUUUGAAGUCAAUUUUAAUCAAAACCAAAAUAAACCGAAAAUAAAUACACAUUCACAGAGCUGGCCUGAAUAACUCACUGUAAUAAUCACGGUAUUUGUUGAGCUGGUAGUACUUCCUCGUGUCUAUACAAGGCUUGCAACUGUGUAGAUAAACUUUUGGAAGCCUGGCUCUGCUGUGAGUUUUACAUUUUUGACACAUAAAGGUUGGGUUUUAAAACCCCAGCUGACAUUUCCCAGCUUGAUAAAUAGGGAAGUUCUACUCUUUCCUGACAAAGCAUUGUCUGCUUUUACUGUAGAUCAAUUUCCUGUUUUUUCUUUCCUGAACUUAAUGUAAUUCAUAGAAAUUACUGGGUCCCAACAGCUUAUUGGGACUUGGUAUCUUUCAACCAGAGCACCAUCAAGAGUAAAGAAAAAAUGUAUGGUGAUCAUGGAAGUCUGAUUGGGAAGCGUGUGAUGGAGGACAUCAAGUUUUAAACUUCAAGGAACCCUUUGAAAUCCCAGAGUUUCCACUUGCUGCCUGGUCACUGUUUCCAUCAGCUGGCCCUUUACCAGACUCCUGGGAAGCUGUCACCUGGCAAUCACAUGCCCCACAGGUUCCCCGAGGUUCAUGCUCUUCCUUGCAGAGCCUUGCAAAGCUUGCAGGAUGGUUCUGGCUGGCUGAAGAGCAGUAGGAGUUGCUUUCUCCUCAUCUUCCUCUCCAGGCUACAUUUCCUGCUAAUACAGGCAGCUCCCUCCUGUGCUGAGAAUAGUUUCCAUGGAGUCAGGAAAUACGAGAAGCAGAGAAGUGGGAAACUCUGGAUCCACUAGACAAGCCUCGACUCUCCUUGGGUGCCUGAAUGUGUGCAAAAGCUGUGGGUGGUCUGAAUUUUGGGUGCUUGAGCAGGAGGCUUUGGAUGUUGGUGUGGAUAUCCAAGUUGCUUUGAGAAUACUUAAGGCUGAAUGAGAAGUGAAUUCCCUAAAUGUCUCCCCUAGGGUCUCAUUGACUUUCAGCAAAAUCGUCCCUCAGAGGCCACUCAGCAUCUUCAUUCAUAGAGCUCAGUGAUGCUCUGCUAUCCAAUUCCCUUUGAAAAGGUUUUUGUGCUGUAAUCUGCUGGCUGGUUACUCAACUGGUGCAGCUUACAGACCUCCCCUGGUUGUUGCACGUCUUUUAAUUUUUAAGGGUUUAUUUCAGCUCCUUUGUGAAGUGUAAGGAAAUGGGUGAUCAGCAAAAUUCUUCCCAGUAUUUUGGAAGCAUUAGUAAAUGUUGAAUAAAGGGCAAUUGCACUGUUGUUUUCAUGGGAACUGUGAAAUAAAGACUGCUAGAUUAGGUGCAAUCCUGAUCUUAAAGUCACAAUUCUUACACAAUUUUUUUUGCACUCUGGUGCAAAAACUCAUAUGUGAGAAUGUGUGCUAGCAAUGAGCCAAGUAAUUCAGCACUGCAGGAAUCCCACCAACUUCAUCUCCAAGCUGGUAAUGAACAUGGGCCUGGACACGUCCAACUGAUGUGUUUGCCUGCAGAAAUUAUCUACAUACAGUCAAUGACAGCAGCAUUCUUCAGAUGUUGGGUUUGAUGCAGUGAGCAUACGUGACACUUCUGCUUUGCUUCCUCUUCUUGCUGUGCCCUGGACUUAGCUGUGCUCUGCUUUCUGUAAUCUAGCCAGAGACACCCUGUUCCUGGGAAAAGGCACCCUGGGCCUGGAAAAAGGCGAGCUGGGCAGCUGUGUUGGAGAACUUGUGUCAGCUUCCAGCAGCUAGCUGAUCCCCUGUGCCUUGCUGCUCUUUUGCACGGCUUCAGUACCUGAGCCAGUGUGUUUCCAGCUGGCAGAGGUGUGCCUGAGCAGGGUUGAACAGCAACUGCUUGGAGGACCAGAGUGGUGUGGUUGGAGCAGAGGUGCUUGCUGACGUAGCUGACUAGAUGAACUGGUUGACUGGUUAAAUACUGGUGGCAAAAGAACUUGCAAAGCUGCUUUGCAGAAGUGGGUGGGUCUCAGCCACAUCCUCACUGGCUUUGGUAUUUGUCCUCAAGCCUGAUUUCCAUUUUCUGUACACCCUUUGCUUUCUGCUCUCCUUCUUUUUUGGCAGGAGAUGUCAGCCAGUAGGUUGUGGCAGCCUAUCAGAAGUGACUGGAGAUAUUUGCUGGAUGAACAAAGCCUAUCCACUCCCUGUCCAUCCUGACAACGACACAGAAGGCAUGGGGCACUCAGUCACAGUCCUGUUGCUCGUCUUUCAAACUGCAGGAGAUGAAUGGCAAUGUCACCUCAGGACACACCACCCUGGAGGCAUUGCCGUGAGAGUCAUGGCAACAUCUCAGCAGGUGGUUUUCAGGUGAAGAGCGCUUAAGGCCAUGGAUGUGAAUGCUCUCUCUUUUCCCAGGCCCUUCAGCGAUUUAUCGUGCUUUCUGUUCAGGUGUAUCUGAAACAGGUAUUACAACGUACACGGCUCCUGCCGCUCCCUCCUGCAAGGCUGAGGUGCAGGGCAGGUAGUCCCCUCCUCCCUGAGUGGCUUAAUCCAUCUGUGCUUCCUGCACUGUGGGGCUCCAGGCUGUUUGCAGAGAUGGCACAUUGACCAUUUUUGAUACACAUUGAUAAUUUUUGCUUCUUGCUGUACACCAGUGACCUCUGGCUGCUUUCCCACUGAUGUAGCUCACCAUGCCUGUGGGAUGUUGAGGUGGCAGGGGUACAGCAGCUGCUGGGGAUGUAGGGGGGAACAGCCAGCUGCUGCCUCAGCCCUGCUGCCUGGGGGGACGCUGGCUGGAGAGGUGGGGGGCAGGAGGAGAGAGAUGCCUCCAAGAAGGAGCUGGGCCACCAUGUUCACCUUCCUCCAAGUCCAUCUGCCGCUGCUCGUCUGCAGGGGGAGGAUUUGAUGCACAUAAACAAGCACCAGGGAAGUUUAAUCCAGCUGGCUUGGGCGCUGUUAGGCAGGGAAUUGCCACCCCAAACUUUAAUCACCUGAGCAAGCGCCUGGUGAGCCUGAAAAGCUCGGUCUGAAAAUGACAGCAUUGCAGAGACAGGCAGAGCUUUUGUCCAGCAUUGAUCCUGGCUAGCAGCUCACUUGUGAGGAAUGGACUGUGCUGCAUGUGGUCCUUCAGUCUGCUCAGGCCACUUCUGAGGUGCUGGUCUUGGAGGGGCUCCAUCCCUGGCUUGCAGAAAGAGGAGCACUUGUCUGGGCCCUUGUCAGGGAAAUCCCGAAGGCUCUGAAGCAUGUGGCCAGGUCUACUCAUCUUCCACAAUGUCCUACAACAGCAGGAAUAUUGUACAAGGAGGUGACUUAGGCAGUACUGUGAGUUUUCACAGCACAUGGCACACCCUCAACUGAAAAUUUGCAUAAAUACCUUUCCAAGUAAUGAGUAUUUUCUAAAUAGAACCAAAAUCACAUGAGAGGCAGGGAGGGGCAUUUACGGGAAAGGCAGGUUUGCUGCAUUUGGAUCUCAUGCAAGAAACAGGAUUAGUACUGUCCACAGAAGUUAGAGCAUGAAUUUUAAGGGUCUGGUUGAGGAAGUUCCUUAGCACAGAUGGAACGACCUUGAUGCUUUUGACCUGACAAAGGCAGUUAAUGCCAAGAAGCAGUUUUUGUGUCCACGGCAGGGAGAAAUGACCAUUACUCCUGAUGACACCUCUUCAGGACACAUCCAUGUGAUCCCAAGGGACCAGAGAGAUCCCCACAUGGUAUAGUGAUGAUUGCUGUUGAAGACUGCAACCAAAACCCAGGAGCCACCCUCUUUUUGAGAAAGAGUUUGAGAAGUAGAGAGGAGGCAGGGGAGAAGUGAUUUUAUUUAGAAUUAUCCACUUAAAGCCUUCUCUAGUCGCUCUCAGAGCAUUUUCCAAAGGACGCUGCUAUUCUUACCCUGCCUUAUCCCAUGGGGAAAAGCACAGCAGUAAGGUGGCUGAGCUGUGGUCAGUGCAAAGCCUGGAGAAGGAGGGAUUUUAAUCUCUGGGAUUUCAGCUAGGUGGUUGCUACCAGUUAAGUUAUAAGUCAUAUAAAAAAGAUCUUUCUGUUCUCUUUAUCUAGAAAUCACCAUUUCCAGUGAGAAGCAGGUAGAGGGAGAGUCAGCAAUCCCUGCUGCUUCCACUUCUUUUCCUUACUAGUCUGCCUGUCCAUUCCCUUUUACCACUUUACAUGUGGUCACUUGAUACCAGCAGCUGUUUUGGGACAUCUCUAUCUGUCACAUCCUUCUUUUUACUUCAGUGUCUAAAAGUUUGAGUGCACCACAAAAAAACAAAACAAAACAUUACAAAACCCCCCCCACAUUAACAAAAUGUGAGUUUCCUUCCAGGUUCAGUUCUAAACACGUCACUUUAGUGAUGUCUAAACUACACAGCACUUGAUGAGCAAAACAUUACUAUCUUCUAGCCACAUUUGUUUUCCCUGUCUCCCAGAGCAUUAUAGUCACCCAGGGAGAACUGCGUGUUCUACUUCGCUGCUGUAAAGCUAUUAUGGGUAUGAAAAGUUCCCAUUAAUCUGCUCCACACAUGGAUGUUUCUGGAUAAAGUUCAGUAGCCAGAUCCCUCUUUCUUUGUGUGCAUCAAACGAAGCAGAAAAAUGCCUCCAAUUUAAAGACACCAAAUGAAUAACCAAAUAGAUGAGAUUAAUUUUUGUUUAAUCCACGUGGGCAGCGAAGCCAAUGGCCAAUGUUUGUGUGUGGACUUCUCCAGGGAGUUCAUUACCAGCCGAGUCUGUAAUAAGUUAAUGCAGAGAUUCCAUGGAAAUAGGGGGUUAAUUAUAUGCAGAGGAUGUUGGCCAAUGUACAGCUUUGAACAACAAAAAUAGCCCAAGUCUUCUGUUUUGGAUGUGGAAUCAAUUAACGAGGUCUGUGACAUGUACCAGAAUUUGUUAAGAUAAUUGUACUAUAAGGAUACUUAUUUUCUUCUUCUUUUUCUUUUUUUUUUUUUUUUUUAAAUAAAAAGCUAAAGAAAAUAAGUGGGUAAUGGAACGCAAGGGAGAGAAAGACAUGAGACUGGUAAUAAAACACUGGACUUUGGCCUGGGGCCAAGGCAGGCUUUUCAAUAGGUCUGAAGUUUGGACGGCAGCACAGUUUGAACCAGUUUUCACUAACUGUCCAAAAGGUUAUACUGUAAUAGAUGGAGAGAAGAGGUUGAUUUUAGUUUACCAACUCCCCUCUCUCUGCUGGCAGGAGUGUUAUGCUGCUAAGAUGCCGUAGUCAUUACACUGAUGGAUAUCAGCAUGUGGCGCGGCAUGCUGCAGAUUCAACUCCGAAGCUGAAACACAAAAAAUUCUCCUUGAUGCCGGUUGGCACAAACCUAAUUUUUUCCCCCCUUUCCACAUCUGGUUUUAAUAUAAAAUGUGUCUCUUUCUGUGCUUUUUUUCCCCGCUUGCCACAGCUUUAGAAAUGUCUUCUUUAAAAAAAAAAAAAAAAAAAAAAAAAAAAAAAAAAAAAAAAAGUGUACAGAAAAAAAAGAAGUGUACAGAGUGUCACUCCUCUUCCCCUAUAUUCCUAGGUUUUAGAAUGAAUUGCAUGUGUGGUAGUUCAGUAGUGCAGCUUGGGAGCUGGGAGCUGAACAGAGCGCAGCGUAUACCUUUGUAAAGGGAUGUUUCAUAAAAAAAGCAGAGGAAGACCAGAUUACUUUUACUUCAGAGCAGUGAAACACACUUUUGGCUUUUACAAGUUUUCAAGGAGCCACUUAAACAGGUAGAAUACAAAUUUGAAAGAAAAAGAUCUGACCCUUUUUCACCCCAUUUCACUUUAGGACAAGCUCUGGGCAUGUUCCAGGCAUUUCUAAAGUCCCUCACUGUUUGCUUUUUUUCCUCACCCCCUUCUUCCAACUUGGUCCCUAAACACAUUAAUUUGUUCCUAGAAAUUAUCUACUUGUUUGUUGUGUUUUGGGUUUGGGUUUUUUUUUUUUUUGUUGUUUGUUUUGCACACAGAAAUCCUCAGACCAAAGCAAACACUGCCACUGAAAAAUGUUGCAAUUCAACCCAGUUUUGAGGGAAGUGCCCCUGAUAACUUCUCAGCUCCAAAGAGAAGCAGUGGAGGCUGGGGCUACCGAGUCUCCAUGGAAAUCACAGAGGGUAAGGUUUGUUUAACUAAUUAGUGGUAAUCCUUAAUAACUCUGUGGCCUUUAAUUUGUGGGGUUUCCACCAGGUUCUAUGUUCAGUUCCUCAGGGAGUGAGCCUGGAUCCCUGGGCUUUGUCACACAUGGACUCCUGGAGACUGGCAUGGCCUGCAGAUCUGAGGGGCCACUUAGGGCACAGGGACAUGGUUUGAGGUCAAGUGCCCUCCAGACCUCUGCAUCUGGUGGUGGGCAAGCAUCAUGCCUGGCUGUUGUCCCAAAGGGACUCUCGGGGAUCCAGAAUGCAGGAUAGGACAUGGGCAGGAUGGAUACCUGGUCUGAGGAGGCUGACUGCACAUGGGACCUUGGUGUGCCACAGCAGGGAAAAGGACUCUGUCAGCAGGGGCAAUGCAAGGACCACCCUGACCUUUCACCUGCCUGCCUGGCUGCUUAGAGUUAAAGUGUUACCAGGGAAGGUGGCUGCAGCCUCCACACAGCAGAUCUGGUGUGACCAUAGCCACCCAGGGGCACCUGGGGACAAGGUCUGAGCAGUGGGAAGGGAAGAUUUUUUCUGCGGCAGCUCGUCAGGCAGACAGGAAAGCAGAGGCCGGGGAGGCCAGGCAAGAGGAGGAUGUGAUAGCAGGGCUGAGGUGACCGGCCUGGGGCCAUCAGGGCGAUGAGGAGACACAAAAGCUGUGGGGCUUGUUAGUCAGGGCCCCAGCCUGCCAAAGGAGCCCACAGUAAGGAGUAGGUUUCUUACCAGUGAGUGGGAAUGGGCAGUGCCUUUAUUUUGCCUGUGACGCCAGAGGCAGCUUCAGGCACUGUUACAGAUGCACUAAGGCUGAAUGCCAGCAUUCAGCUCCCCCAUGAGCCCCCAGAACCUGCCAGGUGUUGGAGCAGGAGCAGGCUACAUCUGCUCUCUGGCCGGCCACAAUUCUAAAUGGAAAAGGUACUUCCCAAGUACCAGAGCACCACUCCCUCUGGAACUGGUCCAAUUAGGGUCAUAACCAAGUGAAAUGGGAACAUAACCAAGUGAAAUGGGAACAUCCAACCCCAUUCAUUCUGUAAGAAAACAAUACCUUUCUUUUGUUUUCUUAACUAUCUGGGGAGUGUCAUAAGAGAGGGGGUCUCUACUGUCCGGAUCUUUUUAGUUCUUCCUUGUUUGGGAGUGCUUUAGGAUGGAAUGACCUUCUGUGGACACAGUUGAGUACUGCCAUGUCCCAUGCCUUUAACACAGCUGAAACUCUUCACAAUAGAGCAAGAAUGGGUGAUGGCUGCCUAAUUCCUCUGUAACCAACCUGAGCAAAGAAGUAUAAUUAUGAUAGUUAUCGCUGGGGGAUGUUUCAAAGAGAAAGCAUGCUAGAUACUUAGACUAAGCACUUAAUUUUUUUUCUAUCAAAUUACUUCCAGCCCAGCAGCUAGCUCUAUGUACAUAAUAGCUAUGUUGGCUUCAAUGAGGUCCUUCAGUUAAGGUCAGCUAAAUACCUGCCCCAUGAUAGCAGGCCACAGACCAGAUGCGAGAUGCCAUGGUGUCACCUCACCCACUCCUUUCCUGUUCUGCUGCAGACUCCCACCCCACUAGCUAAUUUUCAGCAUUUGGCUUUGUAUAGUUUUAAAUUAAGCAAGCUCCAUUGGACUUUACUAUUAAACCACUUGUUCAUUUCCCUUUUAAAACCCAGAUUUUUUUUAACACUCUAAUAAGAGCACAUACCAAUAUUUUAUCUUUUCUGCAGUGUAUCCCCAGGCAGAAAUUAUAUUGUAAUAAUAAACUGGCUAGCUUGUUUUAACAGUUCCUGGCUUUUGGCUUUAUGCAACACUGCAGGUGUGAUUCUAGUAGCAAUACUGUAGGUGUGAAUUAUUAUGUUAGUGUAAUAGCCUGUACCUUAUUGUGCUUUAUUGCUUAAUUGGCUUCUUCCAUAAGGAUUCUGCAGUUGUUAGUGGGAACUAAUGCCAAGCUUUUCUGUGAAAAGAAUGGUACUCUUUUUCUGGUGUUUACUAAGGUCAGUCUUUUCAGUGGGUGACUGACUUUGGGAAAUGAAGGAAAGAUGUCACUAAAUGAAUUAAGAAAGUGCUUACUAAGUCCUUAAUACAAAGCAGAGCAGGCUAAAAGACGCUCCUUGUUAUGCAUAGAUACUUGUAACCCCAAUGAGCCCUUUGGGAAAACAGCUGGCUGAGCUUUCUGGCAAAGGAAGCCCUCUCCCAUGAUCGGGGGAUUCCCAGGUGGUGGGCAAUAUCUCUGGGUGGUUACAUGCUCUGUGACCUCCUCUCCCCUCUCUAUCCUUCCCACCACUUUACUGUUUUCAGCAGAUGGAAGAUCAAAGUUUUGUCUUCACAGCAACACACAGGCUGAUCCCCUUGCCAGUGCAUCCCUGAAGGGGGGCACCCCAGGCAGGGGGCUGCCUUCCCCUACCACAUGGAUCGCCUGAAACAUCAGGAAUGUGGGCAGCCCUCCACAGCAUGUGCAGAUCCUGCCACUCUGCCCGGGAAUCAAGGAGCAGGGAGGAGUCCCAGGGGUACCCAGAUGCUCCACUGAUGCCUCCACCACUUGAAACCUGAGACAGCUUCAAUAUGUGCAGCCACACCCUGGUGUGGGGACCAAGGGUGUUUUUCAGUGGUUUGAAAUAAUGAAAGCUGCUGCUCCUGUCUCACCAGGUCCAGCCCAAAGGAGAUGAGCGGGUUUGAGCUGUGUUUGCACUGUCUGGCCAGGAAGAGAGGACUCAUCUCUGCCACAGAGCUCUCAGUGUGGUUUGUGCUGAAGUGGGAUCCCAGAUCUGGGAUCU